AGCAGUAGCCGCGGUAAUACGUAGGGUGCGAGCGUUGUCCGGAAUUACUGGGCGUAAAGAGCUCGUAGGUGGUUUGUCGCGUCGUCUGUGAAAUUCCGGGGCUUAACUCCGGGCGUGCAGGCGAUACGGGCAUAACUUGAGUGCUGUAGGGGAGACUGGAAUUCCUGGUGUAGCGGUGAAAUGCGCAGAUAUCAGGAGGAACACCGAUGGCGAAGGCAGGUCUCUGGGCAGUAACUGACGCUGAGGAGCGAAAGCAUGGGUAGCGAACAGGAUUAGAUACCCCAGUAGUCCCUGUCUCUUAUU
rnacentral:rRNA from 1 species